GAACAUGGAAAGGGAGAGAAUCUCCUGAGCACAGGGAGGGAGGGGCGGCUCCACAUCUUCCUCUCUAAGGCCACGCCUCCUUCUCCCCCAGGUGGUCAGGACAAGCCCUUCCUGUCUGCCUGGCCCAGCGCUGUGGUGCCUCGAGGAGGACACGUGACUCUUCGGUGUCACUUGGUUGGUGGGUUUAACAACUUCACCCUGUACAAAGAAGACAGAUUCCACGUUCCCAUCCUCCAGGGCGUUAUAUUCCAGGAGAGCUUCCUCAUGGGCCCCGUGACUGCAGCACAUGCAGGGACCUAUAGAUGUUGGGUUUCUCACCCACACUCACCCACUGGGUGGACAGCACCCAGCAACCCACUGGUGAUCACAGUCACAGGAUUCUACAGAAAACCUUCCCUCCAUGCCCUCCCAGGUCCCCUGGUGAAAUCAGGAGAGACGGUCAUCCUGCAAUGCUGGUCAGAUACCGUGUUUGACCACUUCCUUCUGCACAGAAAGAGGAUCAAUGAGGACCUCUUGCGCCUCAUUGGAGAGCCCCAUGAUGGGGGCUCCCAGGCCAACUUCUCCAUAGAUCCCACGAUGCCUGGCUUUCCAGGGACCUACAGAUGCUACGGUUCUGUCACUCACUCCCCCUAUGAGUGGUCGGCUCCCAGUGACCCCCUGGACGUUGUGAUCACAGGUAAGAGUGUCCAGACAUUCUUCUUAUUGUCACUGGGACAGAGUGAGUGAUCCAGGACUUGGAAGUCCCACGUGCUCAUGA